AGUGAACGCUGGCGGUAGGCCUAACACAUGCCAGUCGAACGGCAGCACAGUAAGAGCUUGCUCUUACGGGUGGCGAGUGGCGGACGGGUGAGGAAUACAUCGGAAUCUACUUUUUCGUGGGGGAUAACGUAGGGAAACUUACGCUAAUACCGCAUACGACCUACGGGUGAAAGCAGGGGAUCUUCGGACCUUGCGCGAUUGAAUGAGCCGAUGUCGGAUUAGCUAGUUGGCGGGGUAAAGGCCCACCAAGGCGACGAUCCGUAGCUGGUCUGAGAGGAUGAUCAGCCACACGGGAACUGAGACACGGUCCAGACUCCUACGGGGGGCAGCAGGGGGGAAUAUUGGACAAUGGGCGCAAGCCUGAUCCAGCCAUACCGCGUGGGUGAAGAAGGCCUUCGGGUUGUAAAGCCCUUUUGUUGGGAAAGAAAAGCAGCAGGUUAAUACCCCGCUGUUCUGACGGUACCCAAAGAAUAAGCACCGGCUAACUUCGU
rnacentral:rRNA from 1 species